GACGAACGCUGGCGGCGUGCCUAAUACAUGCAAGUCGAGCGAGCUUGCCUAGAUGAAUUUGGUGCUUGCACCAAAUGAAACUAGAUACAAGCGAGCGGCGGACGGGUGAGUAACACGUGGGUAACCUGCCCAAGAGACUGGGAUAAUACCUGGAAACAGAUGCUAAUACCGGAUAACAACACUAGACGCAUGUCUAGAGUUUAAAAGAUGGUUCUGCUAUCACUCUUGGAUGGGCCUGCGGUGCAUUAGCUAGUUGGUAAGGUAACGGCUUACCAAGGCAAUGAUGCAUAGCCGAGUUGAGAGACUGAUCGGCCACAUUGGGACUGAGACACGGCCCAAACUCCUACGGGAGGCAGCAGUAGGGAAUCUUCCACAAUGGACGCAAGUCUGAUGGAGCAACGCCGCGUGAGUGAAGAAGGGUUUCGGCUCGUAAAGCUCUGUUGGUAGUGAAGAAAGAUAGAGGUAGUAACUGGCCUUUAUUUGACGGUAAUUACUUAGAAAGUCACGGCUAACUACGUGCCAGCAGCCGCGGUAAUACGUAGGUGGCAAGCGUUGUCCGGAUUUAUUGGGCGUAAAGCGAGUGCAGGCGGUUCAAUAAGUCUGAUGUGAAAGCCUUCGGCUCAACCGGAGAAUUGCAUCAGAAACUGUUGAACUUGAGUGCAGAAGAGGAGAGUGGAACUCCAUGUGUAGCGGUGGAAUGCGUAGAUAUAUGGAAGAACACCAGUGGCGAAGGCGGCUCUCUGGUCUGCAACUGACGCUGAGGCUCGAAAGCAUGGGUAGCGAACAGG
rnacentral:rRNA from 1 species